rnacentral:rRNA from 1 species
UAAUACGAAGGGUCCAAGCGUUGUUCGGAAUCAUUGGGCGUAAAGCGCGCGCAGGCGGAUCAGCAAGUCAGAUGUGAAAUCUCGAAGCUCAACUUCGAAACUGUGUCUGAAACUGCUAGUCUAGAGUGUCGGAGGGGGUAGGGGAAUUUCACGUGUAGGGGUAAAAUCCGUAGAGAUGUGAAGGAACACCGGGGGCGAAGGCGCCUACCUGGACGACUACUGACGCUGAGGCGCGAAAGCGUGGGGAGCAAACAGGAUUAGAUACCCUGGUAGUCCACGCCGUAAACGAUGAACACUAGUUAUUGGGGGUAUUGACUCCCUCAGUGACGCAGCUAACGCAUUAAGUGUUCCGCCUGGGGAGUACGGUCGCAAGACUAAAACUCAAACAAAUUGACGGGGGCCCGCACAAGCGGUGGAUUAUGUGGUUUAAUUCGAAGCAACGCGCAGAACCUUACCUAGGCUUGAACUCCUCAGAAUCCGUUUUAAUCGACGGAGUGUCCGCAAGGAAAUUGAGUGAGAGGU